GACGAACGCUGGCGGCGUGCUUAACACAUGCAAGUCGAACGGAAAGGCCCUGCUUGCAGGGUACUCGAGUGGCGAACGGGUGAGUAACACGUGGGUGAUCUGCCCUGCACUUCGGGAUAAGCCUGGGAAACUGGGUCUAAUACCGGAUAUGACCUUCCAUGUAGUGUGGGGGGUGGAAAGAUUUAUCGGUGUGGGAUGAGCCCGCGGCCUAUCAGCUUGUUGGUGGGGUAAUGGCCUACCAAGGCGUCGACGGGUAGCCGGCCUGAGAGGGUGGACGGCCACAUUGGGACUGAGAUACGGCCCAGACUCCUACGGGAGGCAGCAGUGGGGAAUAUUGCACAAUGGGCGGAAGCCUUAUGCAGCGACGCCGCGUGGGGGAUGACGGCCUUCGGGUUGUAAACCUCUUUCGACAGGGACGAAGCUUCGGUGACGGUACCUGUAUAAGAAGCACCGGCUAACUACGU
rnacentral:rRNA from 1 species